ACUUGACUUGGGGAGGAGUUGGAAAUGUUGGCGAGUAGUGCAGACAAAAUGGAGGAAAAGGAUAAAAAGUUGGUGAAGCAACAGCUGUGCUGGAUUGCGAACAACGUGUGUGUCAAUUCUGAUGGUAUCCAUCUCAAUGAACCAUGGAGUACCUGGAAGUACUGACACCCUUGUUGUCGGAGAGUCAAAGAAUGCAUUUGGCAUCAUGGCUGCAAGGAUUCUUAGUCGUCCAAUCAGUGUACCCCUGAAAUGGUCAUGUGUGGCCCCCCACAACUAUCUGUCCUCCACGGAUGAAGCUCAUGAGCCAAAUGCAAGAUACGUGUCUCUUCUGUAUGUUGUCAGCACUGGAUGUUCAAAUAGAAUGCAUUGAAAUUGACCUUUUUAUUGAGAUGAAGAAAUGCCAACAGAGCUUUUUCAGCACACAAAAAUAAACCAUUAUUCUUGCUUCUGGGCUCUGAAAGUAAACCACAAUACAAAAGUGUCUGCUGAGAACAGAUAAGCCAACAUGUUUCUAUGGCCUAGCUGCUACUCUCUAAAAUAUACUAUGCACAGUCAUCAAAAAGAAAGAGGACCAAGUGUUGACCAUGCUAUGCACAGUGUUGGUAUACGCAGGGGAUUAAGGAUAACAUUGCAUUGAAAAUCGAAAGGCAUCAUGUCUGCACGCAACUCCAUGUCUCUUCGCAUGAAUAUACUCUGUACAUAUAUGUAAAUAUAUUUUGAAUUCCCCUCAUAUACUGUGUGUACAUAUUUUAUAAUAUAUUCGUUUUUCCGUAUGAGUUCAAACAUUUAUUUUAUGUUUCCAUAUUUUAUUUUAUGGAAAAGAGAUUGUAUGUGUCUGGACGAUGCACUACGCUGCCUUGGUGACCAAAUGACCGAGUGGCGCAGAUUACUGUUCGAUUUGAUAACAGUGCUCUUCCCCUCACGUUUUCGUACUAUGACGUGGCAGGUUUUGGCCAGGUUCAACCGGGCCAGUAUAAAAUGACUCCCUCAAUGUGUGACUCGGGUUCAGACACGUAACCGAUCGAGAAUAUUGGUAAAAACAUAAAUAAACCCGCAAAAAAAAAAGAAUAAAUAAACAUCAAUAUGUUCAAAACUGUUGCAUUAAGAUCCUAACUUUUUUUGGUUCCAUGUAACAUAUGUUAAGGCUUAUCAUAUAUUGACAAUAUGUAUAUGUUACUGGAAAACCAAA
ensembl:lncRNA